rnacentral:rRNA from 1 species
AACGAACGCUGGCGGCGUGCUUAACACAUGCAAGUCGAACGAAGUGGCGAACGGGUGAGUAACGCGUAAUCAACCUGCCCUUCAGAGGGGGACAACAGUUGGAAACGACUGCUAAUACCGCAUACGGAAGGAGGGGAUUGAGUUGGAUUGGCUAGUUGGGGGGGUAACGGCCCACCAAGGCGAUGAUCAGUAGGCGGUCUGAACGGGUGAACUGCCACAUUGGGACGGAGGCACGGCCCAAACUCCUACGGGAGGCAGCAGUGGGGAAUCUUCCGCAAUGGACGGAAGUCUGACGGAGCAACGCCGCGUGGGUGAUGACGGCCUUCGGGUUGUAAAGCUCUGUUAAUCGGGACGCGGUACCGGAAUAGAAAGCCACGGCUAACUACGUGCCAGCAGCCGCGGUAAUUC